GCCAGACUCCUACGGGAGGCAGCAGUGGGGGAUAUUGGACAAUGGGGGAAACCCUGAUCCAGCGACGCCGCGUGAGUGAAGAAGUAUUUCGGUAUGUAAAGCUCUGUCAGCAGGGAAGAAAGAAAUGACGGUACCUGACCAAGAAGCCCCGGCUAACUACGUGCCAGCAGCCGCGGUAAUACGUAGGGGGCAAGCGUUAUCCGGAUUUACUGGGUGUAAAGGGAGCGUAGACGGCGAUGCAGGUCUGAAGUGAAAGGCGGGGGCCCAACCCCCGGACUGCUUUGGAAACUGUAUGGCUGGAGUGCAGGAGAGGUAAGUGGAAUUCCUAGUGUAGCGGUGAAAUGCGUAGAUAUUAGGAGGAACACCAGUGGCGAAGGCGGCUUACUGGACUGUAACUGACGUUGAGGCUCGAAAGCGUGGGGAGCAAACAGGAUUAGAUACCCGGGUA
rnacentral:rRNA from 1 species